AAAUAUUGUUCAUAUUAUUAACUACGUCUUCCAACUUCGACGACCUUUAAAAAGACUAUAUAAACUUUAUUAUGUUCAUGUAAUCUAUUUUAGCUAUCAAUAUAUUGUUUAUAGACUACUGAAGACAGUGUAUAAACAACACAACAGUAUUUUAGAGAAUGCAUGAAUGUUUUUUAAUGUUUCUUUAGAUAAUUUGAAUACUUUUCUUAAUAACACUUCGAAUAAAUUAUUUGUCAUUAAGAAGCGAAAUGAACAGGGUGACCAGUAAUUGGAAAAAAUAUUAAAGAAACAAAUUGCUUCUAAUAAUUAUUAUUCAGUAAAAUAUAAUUGUGAAUUAAGGAAGAAAAAAAUCUAUAAAAAUUUUGAAACCGGCUAUCAUAAUUCCGAACACAAAAAUUUUCAAUAAGUUAACGAAACAAUAGUCACCACUUUGCUUCUACUUUUACAUGCAUAUUAUUAAAUUUAGCAUUCAUAUUCCUACUAAAUUUUAUUUCAGUUGGCACAUUGCUUAACGCUUAAAAAAGUUCUUGCAAUGGCUAUUUAGAGAGGUGGAGUCCAUUUUUUAAAUAAUGCAAGAAUCGAAAUCUUAACCUACAAUGAUAAAUGAGUUUUUAGUUCAUAUUUUUGUAAGUUGUACUAUAAAAACCAUUGAAACAAAUUGUACUCAAAGUGCAGCUUGCUUCAAAAUAAAAUUUAUUAAAAAACCCUUUUUACUUG